AUCUACCACGCAUGCACGCCGGUUCCUGCGCGCCGUCUGCACUGACCUGACGACCGCUCGCCACGUUUUGUUUGCC
rnacentral:sRNA from 1 species